CCCUUAGAUGUUCUGGGCCGCACGCGCGCUACACUGAUACGUUCAACGAGCUCCUUGACCGAGAGGCCCGGGUAAUCUUUGAAACCGUAUCGUGAUGGGGAUAGAACAUUGCAAUUAUUGUUCUUCAACGAGGAAUGCCUAGUAAGCGCGAGUCAUCAUCUCGCGUUGAUUACGUCCCUGCCCUUUGUACACACCGCCCGUCGCUCCUACCAAUUGAACGUGCUGGUGAAGCGUUAGGACUGGAGGUCUUGGGCCGGUUCGCCUGCCCAUAGCUUCGGGAAUUUCGUUGAACCCUCCCGUUUAGAGGAAGGAGAAGUCGUAACA
rnacentral:rRNA from 1 species